rnacentral:rRNA from 1 species
GACGAACGCUGGCGGCGUGCUUAACACAUGCAAGUCGAGCGGUAAGGCCCUUUCGGGGGUACACGAGCGGCGAACGGGUGAGUAACACGUGGGUGACCUGCCCUCAGCUCUGGGAUAAGCCUGGGAAACCGGGUCUAAUACUGGAUAUGACUCCAUGACGCAUGUUGUGGGGUGGAAAGCCUUGUGCGGCUGAGGAUGGGCCCGCGGCCUAUCAGCUUGUUGGUGGGGUGAUGGCCUACCAAGGCGACGACGGGUAGCCGGCCUGAGAGGGCGACCGGCCACACUGGGACUGAGACACGGCCCAGACUCCUACGGGAGGCAGCAGUGGGGAAUCUUGCGCAAUGGGCGAAAGCCUGACGCAGCGACGCCGCGUGAGGGAUGACGGCCUGGUGUAA